rnacentral:lncRNA from 1 species
CUUGACGACUUCAAUCCUCCUAAAAUUUGUAACAUCUCACAUAGUUUUUAAAAAAAAUAAUUCUAUUCAUCCUAACUUGUUCAAUAUAGGUCUUGUCACUAGCAUAUGCAAAUAUUUUCACAUAAUCUCAUUUUACAUAAAAUUCUAAACUAUAUUAUCUAAUCCUUGGUCUAUAAGUAUGUAGGCUAUGGACAACACCUAAUGUAACUAAGAACCAACUCGCAAUUGUACACAUUUGCAACCAUAUUGUCAAUGCAAGACCAAUUCUUUUACGCCUC